rnacentral:misc_RNA from 1 species
CACAAAAUGACCGCAUUUUUUGUUUUUCAUACGUCGAUUUUCCCGCAAAAAUCGCCACUCGCCACCACGAAAUUCAUUUCCUCUCCACCACACGCGACCGCCCACGUUUUCACCAUAAUCGCCUUCUCUCCUCCUCCUCUUAACAAUCACCAAUCCAAUAAUGUCUUCCAAACCCUCCUCCGCCACUGUUUGCUUACAAGAAAUGGAAGAGCUCCAGAAGGUUUUCAACCAGUUCGACUCCAACGGCGACGGCAAGAUCUCCACUGAUGAGCUCGGCGGUGUUCUCAAAGCUACGGGUUCUACCUACACCACCGAAGAGCUCGAACGCGUCAUGGACGAUAUAGACACCGAUAAGGAUGGCUUCAUCAAUCUGGAGGAGUUCGCUGAGUUCUGCCGCUCCUCCUCCAACGCCACUGCUGAAUCUGAGUUGAAGGAAGCGUUCGAUCUGUAUGACCAGAAUAAGAAUGGACUGAUCUCAUCUGCUGAGUUGCACCAGGUGUUGAAUCGCUUGGGGUUGCAGUGUUCUAUGGAGGAUUGUGAGAGGAUGAUUGAGAGUGUUGAUUCGGAUGGGGAUGGGUGUGUGAAUUUCAACGAGUUUCAGAAGAUGAUGGCUGCAACUGUCAAGAAUGAAAAUACCUCUACAAGGAAUUGAAAACGACGCGUCGUUUCUUCGGUUUCGAUCUGGUACUUUUCUCCGUUUUGAUUUAAUUUGAAUUUUAUGUAUGCAUUUUGGACCACUGAUAAUCGAAUGUAAUAUGAUUCUGUUUUAAUUUUAAAUU